UAGGGAAUCUUCGGCAAUGGACGGAAGUCUGACCGAGCAACGCCGCGUGAGUGAAGAAGGUUUUCGGAUCGUAAAGCUCUGUUGUAAGAGAAGAACGAGUGUGAGAGUGGAAAGUUCACACUGUGACGGUAUCUUACCAGAAAGGGACGGCUAACUACGCGCCAGCAGCCGCGGUAAUACGUAGGUCCCGAGCGUUGUCCGGAUUUAUUGGGCGUAAAGCGAGCGCAGGCGGUUAGAUAAGUCUGAAGUUAAAGGCUGUGGCUUAACCAUAGUAGGCUUUGGAAACUGUUUAACUUGAGUGCAAGAGGGGAGAGUGGAAUUCCAUGUGUAGCGGUGAAAUGCGUAGAUAUAUGGAGGAACACCGGUGGCGAAAGCGGCUCUCUGGCUUGUAACUGACGCUGAGGCUCGAAAGCGUGGGGAGCAGACAGGAUUAGAUACCCUGGUAGUCCACGCUGUAAACGAUGAGUGCUAGGUGUUAGACCCUUUCCGGGGUUUAGUGCCGUAGCUAACGCAUUAAGCACUCCGCCUGGGGAGUACGACCGCAAGGUUG
rnacentral:rRNA from 1 species